CCAUCCCCGGCAGCCGCGAUCCGUGCCCACGUCCUCCUCCGCCGCGUCACGAGGCUUCCGCCUCCGCGCCAACCUGCUGAUGUCCAAGAGCAGCUGUUGUCAGGGUGCGGCGAUUGACGCCCUAGCGGAGGCCAAGGUACUUUAGGUAGAUUUUGGCAAAGCUUGUUCAGGUGAUGUCGAUGGUGUCAUUUUGUUAUGAGUAUACCAUGUCUGAAAUCCGUUUAUUUGUGUAGGUUUGGAGACCUAUAUGGUUGAAAUCAAGAGAAGGUGGAAGUGCACAUCAGAACUUUGAACUCACUAGGUAUUAAUACCUGCAUUACGCAUUUGUUAAAUUUCUGGUCCUUUCUUUCCAUUGCCCGUGACAAACAACAGCUGAGAUGGUUUACAAUUGGUGGCCUCUUAGAAAGUUGCAGUUCCAUUGACUGUGACAAACCACAGCUGAGAUGGUUUACAAUUUGUGGCCUCUUAGAAAGUUGCAGCGCAAUUAUUUCCAGCUUCUUUUAUUGUAACUUGGAUAAAUAUUUCAAGUUAUUUUCAGCAGACUUUUUGAAUGUUAUUGUGGUAUUAAUAUAAUCACAUUGCUAAACCUCUUGCAGAAGCAAUCUGUCGGUGCUGCUAAACCCUAAUCCUUAGUUAGAUGUACUAAAAAUUUAAUUAGAUCGGUUCUUCUCAUGUUAAUGUACCCAGUACCCUGCGUGUUUAAUUAUUUUGUUUAGCCACUCUUCGUGAAUACCAGUUGGUGGUGAUCCAUUUUCUGUAGAAUGUGGCUGGAAGAAAAGGAACAGAGUUUCGGUUACGUCAAAAAGCAAGAAAAAAGAAAUAUUAAUCCAUUGUUUGUCGUAGAGUUUCUUGCCUGGCUGAUUCAGGUUUUGUUGACAUGGUUGUUUUAGUUGUUUAGGCUCAUCAUCCAUGAAUGUUCCCAUGUGGAAACAGAGAUUAAUUAUAAAUAAAUAAACAGAUGGCAUGCGAACUAUGGCAGCCACUUCUCAGCCCCGCGCUUGCCACCUCUCCUUCCUUGCCUCAUGGCGGCGCAGCCUAGAGAAUUGGGAUCGAACUGCAGGAAGGGGCACAGAGAAGAAGUCUAAUUCGGCCUAGACGCAUGGAUCUCAAAUAGUCAGUUACUUCAAGUCAAAAGCCUGUAGAUUUUUAGUUGCAUUGCACUGAACUUGGUUUUGAUUUUCUUUGGCUUAGCCUGUGAAGACGAUGUCCGUGGACUCAACUCCAAAUGAUGCUUAUGAAGUUCAAGAGUGAGUACUGGUAUCAACCCGCAUUUUAGGACUGCUUCUGGAAUCUGGAUUUGCAGUUUACAUCUGUUGCUUACUCUGUACCGUAAAAGCAAAGCUUUCGUCAAGUGUAAUCUUACAUUGAUCAAAUAAAUAAACAUAAUUCAUAUCAGGAUUUAUUGUUUGCUUCAGCUGAAAUGGUUGGCAUUCCUUAACAGGUCAAACGAGAACACUACAUCCAAAGCCUUUAGUUGUUUCCUUUGGUGUUAAUUAAUAGAAAAUGUUGUCCUUUGGUGCUAUAACCAAUACUCAGCGCAAUAGUACUUCUGCUGGUUUUAUUUUCUGAUUGGAGUAUGCUGAGAAGUGCAAGGACAUACUCCCUCCGUUUCUAAAUACUUGUCGCUGUUUUAAAAACAACAGGUUCAUAUUGGUACGGUCAUAUAAAAGGUCUGAAAAGAUCCAGGUUUUGUUGACAUGGUUGUUUUAAUUGUUUAGGCUCAGCAUCCAUGAAUGUUCCCAUGCUGAACAGAGAUUAAAAAAAAACGAGAUGGCAUGGCAUUGUAACCCUACGAUUGUAUUUUGGGUCUAUGGAAUCUCUCGGAGCAAAUAGUACUCCCUUUGUAUGGAAAAGGAUGCCGCGCGGGUUAUUUUGCGAAAAACCCCUCACGUUUUCUCCGACAAGCAUCUCCGUCCAACACGCUUGCUGCUGUCCUACUCCGCCACAUCGUCUCCCAUCCGCCGCUUCGCCGUGCCUCGCCCGUCGCCCGUGCCGCGCCGCGCCGGCCACCACGCCUCCUGCGCCACGCUGCUCCCCGCGCCUCCUCCCGCGAUUCGGACAGCUGACGGAGGGGGCGGUGAAGCAGCUGUCGGAGCAUCCCCUCGGGGCCGGCACCAUCUUCCCGGUGCGCGGGCGGAGGCGGGGCCGUCCCCACGAAGCAUGCUCAUCUCCAACGGGUCAACUCGCAGCAGUCCGUGCGUCCCUCCCUCCCCUCCUUCUCCUGUUUGCCUGUUUGUUUCCGCGAGAAAGAUUGGAUCUUGGUGUUCUUGCUGAUUUGGUUAGUGCACGGGAAUGAUCGUUCUGUGUCUAGGGUGCUAGCGGUUUCGUCAAUGAUGGGAUCUUGGUGCUAGUUUCUUGAGUCACAUGUAGACCUUGUGUGUAGUCGGAGUGUUUUCACAAGAUGGGGAUUUCUGCCUUCUUUGGGUUUCUGUGCACUCCUAUGAAACGGGAUUUCACAAGAUGGGGAUUUCUGCCUUCUCCGGGAACUUCUUCCUUUGUGCUAUGUGACAUUUAGAGACUACUGUUACAACCUACAACAACGAUUCAGACACAAUGGUUGAUUCAAGGAGUAAUUUGUUUGACGUGGUAAUCUUAAUAGCUAGCCUCUUUGACAAUCAGUGGGUUAACUUGUUCGGCAUUAUAUCGCUCUGUAAGUUAAGCUUCAAUUGUUUUUUAAACUUACUCCGUAGAAUGCAUUAUCCUUAGUGUGUUUACUGUCAGUAAAAUAUGGGAGUUUGGUGUUUGAUUCAGUCAUAUGUCGAUGAAUGUUUUGAACUUCCCAUGUCAGCAUGACAGGAUGUAAUUUAAAUUGUUUCAAUUACUUUUCAUGGCAAUCAGCAAUCAAAAUGAAAGAUUGAAGGUCAUAAGCAUUGGCACAAAAUACAACACCUUCUUUGGCUGCAGCAAACAUAUAAACAUGAUGCCAUGGGCUGAUAGAAUCCUACAUAACAAUUGUAACUCUGACUUGCAGAAAAAUAUAGCUUACUAAUGGUAACUUGUUAAGCAUGAGAAGCAAAGUGCAUCUCAUCUCGUUGCAACAAAGGGAAAUAGCAUCAUAAAGCAGUUCAAUUCCGACAGAUCAGUGAAAUAGCAAGCAUUAUACAUGCACCAAUAAAGCUGCUAUGCUUGGAUUUUUCUGAAUGAAAUUGACCUGGAGUACAUUAUUAAUAGGAACAGACCUCUGAUAUUAAUAUCAACACAUCACAUUUCAUAAUGGGAGUAAAUGUUUUCAUACACAUGGUAAUAUCAUACACAAGUACACACAAGUACUAUCAUUCUCUUCCUUUCUCUACGUCACAUUUUCUUUCUUAGCCUGUCCUUCUAUAAGUGCUUUGGUUUUUGCCAGUAAAUUUGCCGUGAUAAAUGGUAACUUCCCUUCUGCGCGCUCCUUAUGCUUGUGUAGGAGGUCACAGCCAAUUCCUCCUUCCACCUUCAUAGCCUCAAUCAUACAGUACUGCAGUGUAAUGAAGCUUCGAGCGAGCUUCUGGACAUCGUAGUUAUUGUAUUCUUCCUCCACACCCUCUAUUAGUUCUUUGAUAGUUGUUGGUGCUGUGCUAUCGGUGAGUGACUGGAGGGACCUGAAGAAGCACAGGUCGAGGACAUUCAUGUCCGGACUGUUUGGAGGCUGCUGUAUCAACUUAAUGUCCAGAUCAGUCUCGUCCACGACCCGUUGAAAAGCAUCAUCGGUAGGGAGGAGAUGAGGUUUAGCGUUAUCUUGUUGUAUGAGGAUUGUUCUUCCUACAUCCUCAUCUGGCCACCGAUCCUGGAUAGCUGGAAUGACCUUCUUGCAAAUGAACUCUCUCAUGGCAUCACGUGUAACAGUCACUGAUUUCACUUCAAGUGUCCCCCUAUCUCUGUGUUUGGAGUUUUUUUUAGCUGGCGUCUCUUCGACAAAGGCCCAGGUGCCUAUCUUUCCAUCAAAUGUGACCUCUCCACCUUCACCAAAUCUUGGCUUCGCCACAGCCGUCAAGAACAUAACUUUGCCAAUGAUGUUCUUAUUCUGCACUGUGCGCAAUGGUCGUGGUUCACCAGGAAGGAGAUAGUAGUUGUUGCUUAUUCGGGUCAUGUAGAACCACUUUUCAUCGAUGUGGACGACAUUGUCCAUUUUCUUGAAGAAAGGGCAAGGAGUUGUCAAGCCAUAAUUGUCAAGCAUCCAGACGCAAAAUUGUAGUCUCUUAAUCUUGUUUGCGUCUGUCAUCGAAGGCUUUAAAUUACUUCUGUGUCGUUUCAAAUCACCCAGCAUAAACCUUUGGUGUAAGGUUGCGUGGCACACACCCAAUGAUUUUGCUAGACUCCGAAUGGUCUUUCUUUUGUUGAGUGGUAUUGUGAGUACCCUUGGCAAAUCCAGAUCUUUCUUUUUUCAGCCAACAUUACCUUUCUUCUUAUUUGAUACGUUAACUUCUUCACCUCGUGCAAUCUGUGCCAGGGCUUUGGCCCAUAUUCUCUCAACAGUCCGCACACUUGUAUCCAUCAAGACUGCAGUGAUAUACUUGUCCUAUGCUUGAAUUUCUCCAUCUCUGGUCCUGAUUACCUCCAAAGCAAAGUAGACAGCAUGCCUUUGCUCAUUUGUCAAUUCUGCUUUUGGAUUUUCUUGAGCAUCAGCUUCCUCUUGAGCAUCCAAAUCUUGAGCAGCUUCUUCUUGAACAUCCAUAUCUUGAGCAGCUUCUGGAGCAAUCUCAUUCAAAUCAAAAGGAGCAACUUCUUCUUGAGCAGCUUCUUGAGCAAUCUGGGCAGCUUCUUCUUGAGCAAUCUGGACAACAGCUUCUUCUUGAGCAGCAGCUUCUUGAGCAAUCUGGCCAGCAGCUUCUUCUUUAGCAGUGGCUUCUUGAGCAAUUUGAGCAACUUCUUGAGCAAUCUCAUUCAAAUCAAAAGGAGCAACUUUUUGAGGAAUCUCAGCAUUAGCUUCUUGAAGAAUCCGAGGGAACUCAGCCUUGUAGGUGUUAUGUAGGUCAGUACACAUUCCUGCAAAAGAGCGAGAUUGUGGGCAUGACAUGGUUCCUUUUGAGAACAAGAUUACUCCGUACAACAACUUAAUCGAGCAUAGUAGCUUACCGUGUACCAUAGGUCAGAGAAGAUAUCCUUUUGGUGCAUCAUGUUAUAUUUCCACAUAUCCAAUGCUCUAUGGGGUAGCUUCUUCCUUUUCGAAACCAACUUACAUAGUUUGUCGCCAGCAAUUUGUUCCUUCAUAUAGCUGUGCAAAGAGAAUGUUAAUUUUAUUCCUUGACAUGAUGAAUUUGUCCUUGUAGGUCAGAGCUUAUUGAAACUUACUCAUUGGAGAGCACUGAUAGAGCAUCGAAUUUCAUCAUUGGGGAACUUGAGGUGGAGAUGGUUCCUUAAUCUGCAGUAAAAGUACCAAGGUGAGUCAAUAUUAGGAGUACAAGUAUAUGCAUGUCAACAAGUAAAAUAACUCUAGAGCAUGUCAACUGUUUAUGCAUAUGUGACUUCAAGACUGUAAACACAUUUUUUCAGCAAAGACACUAAAAACAAUAUCAUUAAUCAAGUGUUACCUUCUCCUUUGCUGAACUGAAUUUGUUGUUGGUAACAGUUAAGUUAACAGAAAUUUCAGAACUGUUUCAGAACUGUGCCCAGAACCUGCCCAGUAUGGUGCUGGAGUUGAAAUUCAGUUAAUUAACUCUAGUCUCUUAAUCUUUCAAUGCACGACCAUUAACUGUUAACUAGGGAGUAUUAAAUUCAGUUAACUAUAGUUAGAGUAAAGGCAUGUCAACGGUAACUCUAGUUAGAAAGAGAAGCAUGAUUAAUGAAUCAAGUUAACAGACAUGUACAGUGAACUGCAGUUAAAUUCAGUUAACAUCCAGUCACAAGAUAGCCAUGAAUAUUUCAGAACAGUCGAGUAGGAGAUGUGCAAUACUGUAGUUAACUGAAUAGCUACAAAAACAAGAUCAGCUUAGAACAAUAUCCCAAAUUGUACUGCUCCUAGAUUACAAUAGUGACAAACCAAGAGCAGCUUCUUCUUGAAUAACAUGUGCUUUGUUACUCAUUUUACCUGAUGUUACAACUGAAGUUCAGGUUGAGGCACAAUUGCAGAGACUUCAAUCACAACUUCAGUUCAGUUCAGGUUCAGGCGCAGCUGCAGCCUCAACUUUGCUUCAGUUCAGUGAAUUGUCCAACUUCAGUUCAGGUAAGCACAGUACAGGCACAAAUUCAGUUCUGGAAUGUCCAAGAUAGGCACCUGGGUCUCAAUUUUGCUUGUAAUCGGGUCUCUGCAGCUUGAAUUUUAGCAACGAUGAUGAUUUUCCUUGUACUCAGUAUUCGUUCAGUGAAAUUGAACACGACGCAGGCUCUGCAGGGAUUGAAAUUGAGGAUCAGAGGAAGGCGGCGACCUCGUCCUCGUCUAGGUCCUCGACGACCUCAGAGGUCCAGGUCCUCGUCCUCGACGGAGGGCGGCGGACGGCGAGGGAACUGCGGAGGCGGCUGCAGACGAAGGAGGGAGCACGGCUAGCAGGCUGGCCGCCCUCCGCCCGGCGCGUCUGGCAGGAGCUCCGCGUGCCUCCGGUGGCGCAAGGACAGUGGGAAGGCGACGGAUGGUACGGAGGGCAGCACGAUGGAUCUGCGCGUCUGCGUGCUCUGGCGGGAGGCCGGCGGGAGCUCUGCUUGCCUCCGGCGGCGCGAUGACAGUGGGACGAAGACGGAGGGCAGCGCGAUGGGAAGAUUUGGUUUUGAAUUUCAGGUUUGAAUUUCAAAUUUCAAAUGAUCCGAACGUUUGGGGGAGUUUUUGCAAAAUUUGAAUUGCAUUGGAGGUGGAGGAGGACGCGACAUCCUUUCCCAUCCAGAGGGAGUACCAGAAAUUUCUCUGACGCUAGACAAAGAUAAAGGGCGAAAGAAAAGACUGAUACAUAGAUGCUUCGUACAUGUCAAAUGGAGGAGAAAGUAAGAAAAAACGAAAUGGCAGUGCUUAUAGGUGAAAAAUUGUUGGGAAUACUAGCGGAGUGCAGCGGCCGUAGUAACGCAUGCGCAUUUCGGCUGGUUCACCUUGAAAAAAGGGACGAAGAAAAAACCAAUCGGUUGCUCUGUUCCUUCGCCCAUCUCGCUCGCUCUUUCGUUCCCCAUUUCCUUUUCCCUAGCAAAGGAAAUCAGCAGCAGAAAUCAGGCAGCCACGCAUUCAGCAAGAGGAAGAAGCCACUGCAGGAGUUGGAGGGCUGCGGCUCGAUGGUGUUUACCGCGGCGUGGAUAUCCGGAGCAAGGAGAAAACACUGCGGAAGAUAGGAGCGCGCGGCUCUAGGACGAUUUUCGCAAGGAGAAGCCAUUGCCGGAGUUUGCGAACUGGUGCCUGAACGGGGAUACCAGAUUUGAGGAAACAACAUCAUGAAUUCGACUCACAACCAUGCUCCCUCGCUCCAGAUCUUCAUCACCACCAUGAUCCCGAGGUCAACAGAAGAAAGAGUGGGCAAAUUGACAGAACAACGAGGAAGGCAAAGCUCCUCCCUUCUCACGUACCAGCCGGAUGGGCCUAGGUGAGAUAGAUCGGGGGAGGAGAAGAAGGAAGCGAGAAGAAAGACCCGAGAGCCGAGAGUCUUUGGCCACGAUUUCUUUCCAGCGCAGCACCAGAGGAAAGAGAAGGGGCAUCCG
rnacentral:lncRNA from 1 species